UCUGUGGAUCAGUGGCGAACGGGUGAGUAACACGUGAGCAAUCUGCCCCUGACUCUGGGAUAAGCGCUGGAAACGGCGUCUAAUACCGGAUAUGAGCUGCGGCCGCAUGGUCGGCAGUUGGAAAGAUUUUUCGGUCAGGGAUGAGCUCGCGGCCUAUCAGCUUGUUGGUGAGGUAAUGGCUCACCAAGGCGUCGACGGGUAGCCGGCCUGAGAGGGUGACCGGCCACACUGGGACUGAGACACGGCCCAGACUCCUACGGGAGGCAGCAGUGGGGAAUAUUGCACAAUGGGCGGAAGCCUGAUGCAGCAACGCCGCGUGAGGGAUGACGGCCUUCGGGUUGUAAACCUCUUUUAGCAGGGAAGAAGCGAAAGUGACGGUACCUGCAGAAAAAGCGCCGGCUAACUACGUGCCAGCAGCCGCGGUAAUACGUAGGGCGCAAGCGUUAUCCGGAAUUAUUGGGCGUAAAGAGCUCGUAGGCGGUCUGUCGCGUCUGCUGUGAAAACCCGAGGCUCAACCUCGGGCCUGCAGUGGGUACGGGCAGACUAGAGUGCGGUAGGGGAGAUUGGAAUUCCUGGUGUAGCGGUGGAAUGCGCAGAUAUCAGGAGGAACACCGAUGGCGAAGGCAGAUCUCUGGGCCGUAACUGACGCUGAGGAGCGAAAGGGUGGGGAGCAAACAGGCUUAGAUACCCUGGUAGUCCACCCCGUAAACGUUGGGAACUAGUUGUGGGGUCCAUUCCACGGAUUCCGUGACGCAGCUAACGCAUUAAGUUCCCCGCCUGGGGAGUACGGCCGCAAGGCUAAAACUCAAAGGA
rnacentral:rRNA from 1 species